rnacentral:rRNA from 1 species
AUUGAACGCUGGCGGCAGGCCUAACACAUGCAAGUCGAGCGGAUGACGGGAGCUUGCUCCUUGAUUCAGCGGCGGACGGGUGAGUAAUGCCUAGGAAUCUGCCUGGUAGUGGGGAACAACGUUUCGAAAGGAACGCUAAUACCGCAUACGUCCUACGGGAGAAAGCAGGGGACCUUCGGGCCUUGCGCUAUCAGAUGAGCCUAGGUCGGAUUAGCUAGUUGGUGGGGUAAUGGCUCACCAAGGCGACGAUCCGUAACUGGGCUGAGAGGAGGAUCAGUCACACUGGAACUGAGACACGGUCCAGACUCCUACGGGAGGCAGCAGUGGGGAAUAUUGGACAAUGGGCGAAAGCCUGAUCCAGCCAUGCCGCGUGUGUGAAGAAGGUCUUCGGAUUGCAAAGCACUUUAAGUUGGGAGGAAGGGCAGUAAGCUAAUACCUUGCUGUUUUGACGUUACCGACAGAAUAAGCACCGGCUAACUCUGUGCCAGCCGCCGCGGUAA